CAAGCCUCCAAGAAGAAAAGUAAAGCAUGCACUGCCAGGAAUGAUGUCUGUUGCUCUGAGAGUUAUUUGACAUUUCAGUUCAACUUCUAGUGGAGGCAGUUUAAGGCCACUGAAAGGGCACAGAGCAGCAGGGACCUCUUUCAUGUGAACUUGAAAUGAACUCUAAAACUGAUCAUGGGAAAUUCCGCUUGGGUCCAAUGACAUCACUUCCAGUUCCGGGCCAAAGACAUCACUUCCAGCCCCAAGGAUGCUACUUCCAGUUCCAGCCACGCCACUUCCGGUCCCAGGCCUGAGGAUGUCACUUCUGGUUCCUGUCUGAUUACAUAAUUUCCGGUUUCCCACUAUAAAACCACUAUAUCCGCCUGUUUACCUUUUUCACCUUUUAGUUUCAUUACAGCAUUGUGUCAAAUCUCUCAUCAAAGGAAAUUCAGUGGCAGAUAUGUGUUGUGUAUUAUCAAUUACUCGGAUUCUGCACUGUCAGAUGAGGAUUUUGCAGUGUCGGAGGAAAGUAACAAUGAGAGUGCUGCUGAAGAACUGUUUUGUUAGUUUUAUGUUUUUCACAAUCUGGGCAAUAAAAAUGAGUUUGACGAAACAAACUAAUUAAGCCGACAAAAGAGUUAAAGAAUCAUUUUGAUAGUUUGGUAAAAAAUAGUAGAAUUGACAUACCCCUUCCUAAC